CCAGCACUAUCUCCUGAACUAUAGCUAAAACUCUACUGUUUUUCUGUUUUGUUUUGUUUUAUUCAGAACAAUAAUAUUUACAAAGUCUUGUAUUCUUGAGCGCAGGUUCUUGCCAAGGAAACAGUUUAGAAGCUGCAGGUACCUCGCCACACGAUGGCAGAGUAACAGCACUUGUCACUAGGUACCUUAAAGGCAGAUCUUACUUCUUGAGACUGCAAAAGAAUAAUGGCAAGCCCUCUUUUGCUUCAGGAAGUAGAAGACCCAAGUAUUUUGCCUUUAUUUUUGAGCUGUGUAAAACAAGGACAUGGCAACCUGACCACAUCUGAAGCAGAGUUGGAAAUGUUCCCAUCAGUCUUCCAGAGAUUCAGGAAAGAGCAUCUUUUAUUCCUUAAUAGCUUUCUCUUGACCAUCUGUGGUCAAGCCAUGCUUUCUCCUUACCGUUUCAAGAGCCUGGAUUGUUCUCAGAGCCAGAAGGGGAGAAGCAGAAAGUCCAGCUGCAUGAGGGAAUUCUGCUUUUUUCUUACCCUGUGACUAUUGGAAAGAUUCUUCUCUUCACAUUUCUUUACAUCUGAGCACAGGAUUUGGAAGUGCUUUAAAAGCUGAUAGCUUCAAGAAAGCAGAGGAGACUAAGAAGGAUAGAAUGAAUUCAGAGGGCAUGUUUUUCAAGAGCCAGGAAUCUGACGUACAUGGAAUUGUGAACUCUUGUAGCAGAAGAUAAAGUUCUUAUGGUGAUAUGUUUCAAAUGAGACUAGCUGUGAUUCAGACACACCUGAUACAAGCAUAUCAUUAUCUCUGUCGUUUUCUCAUUAAUGAUCGUGUGGUUGUUAUAAAGAGCUGACAGAAAAUUGCAUAAAUUAUCAUACAAUUAUUAUAUAAUAAUUAGCCCUCAUAUGUAUAUAAUAUAGAAAAAUUAAGUCAUGAAAUGAACUUGCUUGCAGAAGUGCUAAAAAAAUUACCUGUCACACACAGUUUACACUGAAAAGGCAGUAGAAGAAUGCAUUUUUUCAUUGAUAAACGAAGCCUUAAAUCUCCAGGCAAACUGAAUUUCAUUAGCAGAGAAAUUAAAAUUUGAUCUUUCUAUUGAAAUAGCUGCCAAGGUUAAGGGAUCACAGCAAAUAUGCAUGAUAUGUUGCUCAUACCACCUGGGAAUGGGGGGAGUUGUUCCCUUUUCCUACAGUAAGUAGUAGUUAUUACUCAGGGAGACCAUGCCCAGGGGUGCAGCCCUUCCAAGAAUCAGGGCAUAAUUCUAGCCAUUGCAAAAAUUUUUCACUAUUUUCGAUUCUUAGU